rnacentral:rRNA from 1 species
AGCGAACGCUGGCGGCAGGCCUAACACAUGCAAGUCGAACGAACCUUUCGGGGUUAGUGGCGGACGGGUGAGUAACACGUGGGAACGUGCCUUUAGGUUCGGAAUAACUCAGGGAAACUUGUGCUAAUACCGAAUGUGCCCUUCGGGGGAAAGAUUUAUCGCCUUUAGAGCGGCCCGCGUCUGAUUAGCUAGUUGGUUGAGGUAAUGGCUCACCAAGGCGACGAUCAGUAGCUGGUCUGAGAGGAUGAUCAGCCACAUUGGGACUGAGACACGGCCCAAACUCCGACGCGAGGCAGCAGUGGGGAAUCUUGCGCAAUGAGCGAAAGCCUGACGCAGCCAUGCCGCGUGAAUGAUGAAGGUCUUAGGAUUGUAAAAUUCUUUCACCGGGGACGAUAAUGACGGUACCCGGAGAAGAAGCCCCGGCUAACUUCGUG